UAAAGGUGGCCAGGUAAAGGUGGCCAGGUAAAGGUGGCCAGGUAAAGGUAGCCAGGUAAAGGUGGCCAGGUAAAGGUGGCCAGGUAAAGGUGGCCAGGUAAAGGUGGCCAGGUAAAGGUGGCCAGGUAAAGUUAACCAGGUAAAGUUAACCAGGUAAAGGUGGCCAGGUAAAGGUGGCCAGGUAAAGGUGGCCAGGUAAAGUUAACCAGGUAAAGUUAGCCAGGUAAAGGUGGCCAGGUAAAGUUAACCAGGUAAAGGUGGCCAGGUAAAGGUGGCCAGGUAAAGGUGGC